UACGUAGGGGGCAAGCGUUGUCCGGAUUUAUUGGGCGUAAAGAGCGUGUAGGCGGUCAGGUAGGUCCGUUGUGAAAACUCGAGGCUCAACCUCGAGACGCCGAUGGAAACCAUCUGACUAGAGUCCGGAAGAGGAGAGUGGAAUUCCUGGUGUAGCGGUGAAAUGCGCAGAUAUCAGGAAGAACACCAAUGGCGAAGGCAGCUCACUGGGACGGUACUGACGCUGAGACGCGAAAGCGUGGGGAGCAAACAGG
rnacentral:rRNA from 1 species